rnacentral:rRNA from 1 species
UACGUAGGGUGCAAGCGUUAAUCGGAAUUACUGGGCGUAAAGGGCGCGCAGGCGGCCGAUCAAGUCAGAUGUGAAAGCCCCGGGCUCAACCUGGGAAUAGCAUUUGGGACUGGUCGGCUAGAGUUCGGGAGAGGAGAGUGGAAUUCCCAGUGUAGAGGUGAAAUUCGUAGAUAUUGGGAAGAACACCGGUGGCGAAGGCGGCUCUCUGGACCGAUACUGACGCUGAGGCGACGAAAGCGUGGGGAGCAAACAGG